rnacentral:rRNA from 1 species
CAGUGGCGAACGGGUGAGUAACACGUGGGCAAUCUGCCCUGCACUCUGGGACAAGCCCUGGAAACGGGGUCUAAUACCGGAUAUUACCUGCCGAGGCAUCUUGGUGGGUGGAAAGCUCCGGCGGUGCAGGAUGAGCCCGCGGCCUAUCAGCUUGUUGGUGGGGUGAUGGCCUACCAAGGCGACGACGGGUAGCCGGCCUGAGAGGGCGACCGGCCACACUGGGACUGAGACACGGCCCAGACUCCUACGGGAGGCAGCAGUGGGGAAUAUUGCACAAUGGGCGAAAGCCUGAUGCAGCGACGCCGCGUGAGGGAUGACGGCCUUCGGGUUGUAAACCUCUUUCAGCAGGGAAGAAGCGCAAGUGACGGUACCUGCAGAAGAAGCACCGGCUAACUACGUGCCAGCAGCCGGGGUAAUACGUAGGGUGCGAGCGUUGUCCGGAAUUAUUGGGCGNANUGAGCUCGUAGGCGGUCUGUCGCGUCGGAUGUGAAAGCCCGGGGCUUAACCCCGGGUCUGCAUUCGAUACGGGCAGACUAGAGUGUGGUAGGGGAGAUCGGAAUUCCU